rnacentral:rRNA from 1 species
UACAGAGGGGGCAAGCGUUGUUCGGAAUUACUGGGCGUAAAGGGCGCGUAGGUGGCCUUCUAAGUUGAACGUGAAAUCCCUGGGCUCAACCCAGGAACUGCGUCCAAGACUGGGAGGCUUGAAUCCGGGAGAGGGAUGCGGAAUUCCAGGUGUAGCGGUGAAAUGCGUAGAUAUCUGGAGGAACACCGGUGGCGAAGGCAGCAUCCUGGACCAAUACUGACGCUGAGGAGCGAAAGCCAGGGGAGCAAACGGG